AACGAACGCUGGCGGCGUGCCUAACACAUGCAAGUCGUGCGAGAAAGUUCCUUCGGGAGCGAGUAAAGCGGCGCACGGGUGAGUAACACGUAGGUAACCUGCCCCCCAGUCUGGAACAACUAGAGGAAACUCUAGCUAAUGCCGGAUGAGACCACGAUCCCUUCGGGGGUUGCGGCCAAAGAUGGCCUCUACUUGUAAGCUAUCGCUGAGGGAUGGGCCUGCGGGCCAUUAGCUUGUUGGUGAGGUAACGGCUCACCAAGGCUGUGAUGGCUAGCUGGUCUGAGAGGAUGACCAGCCACACUGGGACUGAGCACGGCCCAGACUCCUACGGGAGGCAGCA
rnacentral:rRNA from 1 species